rnacentral:rRNA from 1 species
UACGUAGGGCGCAAGCGUUAUCCGGAAUUAUUGGGCGUAAAGAGCUCGUAGGCGGUUUUGUCGCGUCUGCCGUGAAAAGUCCGGGGGCUCAACUCCGGAUCUGCGGUGGGUACGGGGCAGACUAGAGUGAUGUAGGGGAGACUGGAAUUCCUGGUGUAGCGGUGAAAAUGCGCAGAUAUCGGGAGGAACACCGGUGGCGAAGGCGGUUCUCUGG